GACGAACGCUGGCGGCGCGCCUAACACAUGCAAGUCGAACGGGGUGCGUUCGGAUGAAGUUUUCGGAUGGAUUUUGGAUGUACCUAGUGGCGAACGGGUGAGUAACACGUGAAUAACCUGCCCUGGAGUGGGGGACAACAGUUGGAAACGACUGCUAAUACCGCAUAAGCCCACAGAGCCGCAUGGCUCAGGGGGAAAAGGAGCAAUUCGCUUCAGGAUGGAUUCGCGUCCAAUUAGCUAGAUGGUGAGGUACCGGCCCACCAUGGCCACGGUUGGUAGCCGGACUUAGAGGUUGAUCGGCCACAUUUGGACUGAGACACGGACCAGACUCCUACGGGAGGCAGCAGUGGAGAAUAUUGCACAAUGGGGGAAACCCUGAUGCAGCGACGCCGCGUGGAGGAAGAAGGUCUUCGGAUUGUAAACUCCUGUCGUUGGGGACGAUAAUGACGGUACCCAACAAGAAAGCCACGGCUAACUACGUGCCAGCAGCCGCAGUAACAC
rnacentral:rRNA from 1 species